rnacentral:rRNA from 1 species
UACGUAGGGUGCGAGCGUUGUCCGGAUUUAUUGGGCGUAAAGAGCUCGUAGGCGGCUUGUUGCGUCGACCGUGAAAACCCGGGGCUCAACUUCGGGCUUGCGGUCGAUACGGGCGGGCUAGAGUUCGGUAGGGGAGACUGGAAUUCCUGGUGUAGCGGUGAAAUGCGCAGAUAUCAGGAGGAACACCGGUGGCGAAGGCGGGUCUCUGGGCCGAUACUGACGCUGAGGAGCGAAAGCGUGGGUAGCAAACAGG